UCUCCUGGAAACGGGUGGUAAUGCCGGAUGCUCCGGUUGGAUGCAUGUCCUUCCGGGAAAGAUCCGUCGGUAUGGGAUGGGGUCGCGUCCUAUCAGCUUGAUGGCGGGGUAACGGCCCACCAUGGCUUCGACGGGUAGCCGGCCUGAGAGGGCGACCGGCCACAUUGGGACUGAGAUACGGCCCAGACUCCUACGGGAGGCAGCAGUGGGGAAUAUUGCACAAUGGGCGCAAGCCUGAUGCAGCGACGCCGCGUGCGGGAUGGAGGCCUUCGGGUUGUAAACCGCUUUUGAUCGGGAGCAAGCCCUUCGGGGUGAGUGUACCUUUCGAAUAAGCACCGGCUAACUACGUGCCAGCAGCCGCGGUAAUACGUAGGGUGCAAGCGUUAUCCGGAAUUAUUGGGCGUAAAGGGCUCGUAGGCGGUUCGUCGCGUCCGGUGUGAAAGCCCAUCGCUUAACGGUGGGUCUGCGCCGGGUACGGGCGGGCUGGAGUGCGGUAGGGGAGACUGGAAUUCCCGGUGUAACGGUGGAAUGUGUAGAUAUCGGAAAAGAACACCA
rnacentral:rRNA from 1 species